UACGUAGGGGGCGAGCGUUGUCCGGAUUUAUUGGGCGUAAAGGGCUCGUAGGCGGUUCGUCACGUCGGGAGUGAAAACUCGGAGCUUAACUCCGAGCCUGCUUCCGAUACGGGCAGACUAGAGGUAGGCAGGGGAGAGCGGAACUCCUGGUGUAGCGGUGGAAUGCGCAGAUAUCAGGAGGAACACCGGUGGCGAAGGCGGCACUCUGGGCCGGUACUGACGCUGAGGAGCGAAAGCGUGGGGAGCGAACAGG
rnacentral:rRNA from 1 species